GCUGCGAUAGCACAAUUGGUAGUGCGCUCGGCUGUUAACCGAGAGGCUGAAGGUUCGAGUCCUUCUCGUAGCG
rnacentral:tRNA from 1 species